GAGAGAUGAUGAAGGACCUGCCUCCAGAGCACCUCAGCUGAGUUCAUCUGGGACCAAGGGAGCGUGACAGGACUAUGAGACUUUGAAUGGUGAAGAUGGCGUGGGACCGCGAGGACUGGGAGUUCAUGGCCGUGGAGGCCACGGUCCGGGAACUGUUCCCUUGCUCCAGGCAGGACACAGUAUCUUGGGCACAGGUCCAGGAUAUCCUCAUUGUAGAUCUGGAGGUGGCAGAACAGCAGUUCGGAGUCAGCAAGGAAGAAAGACCCACAUGCAGUCAUGCUGAAAUCAUGGCUAACCCUGCGUGACAUCCCAGGGAACAGACCUGGGACUCAGAAUCCAGUUCCUGACAAGACCUGU